ensembl:lncRNA
UAACAUUUGGUUCUAAACAAAGACACACACUAACAUUUAGAUGUACACAAAGACACAUUAAUAUUUAGAUGUACACACAGACACACUAACAAUUAGAUCCACACACAGACACACUAACAAUUAGAUGUACACACAGACACACUAACAUUUGGUUCUAAACAAAGACACACACUAAUAUUUAGAUGUACACAAAGACACAUUAAUAUUUAUAUGUACACACAGACACACUAACAAUUAGAUGUACACACAGACACACUAACAAUUAGAUGUACACACAGACACACUAACAAUUAGAUGUACACACAGACACAUCCUGAUGAUCCUCCUCACGUCUCUUCUCCUUGUCUGCAGACCAACAGGACGCCAUCAGGACGCCACGUCAUCGGGAUGCCAUCAGGACGCCAUCAGGACACCACGUCAUCGGGACACUACGUCAUCGGGACACACUAACAAUUAGAUGUACACACAGACACACUAACAAUUAGAUGUACACACAGACACACUAACAUUUGGUUCUAAACAAAGACACACACUAACAUUUAGAUGUACACAAAGACACACACUAAUAUUUAGAUGUACACACAGACACACUAACAAUUAGAUGUACACACAGACACACUAACAUUUGGUUCUAAACAAAGACACACACUAACAUUUAGAUGUACACAAAGACACACACUAAUAUUUAGAUGUACACAAAGACAUUAAUAUUUAGAUGUACACACAGACACACUAACAUUUGGUACUAAACAAAGACACACACUAAUAUUUAGAUGUACACAAAGACAUAUUAAU